rnacentral:lncRNA from 1 species
AAAUUAAGGAUUAAGUUGAAAAUAAAUAGAAUUUAAAGGCUGAAUUCAAAAAUUGACAAUGAGAAAAGGAGCAAAUUAAAUCACGCGUAACAGAAGGAGGAUCAAAAGAGCAAAUUAUCCAAAUCACUCAAGCACUGCGCAGCAACAUGGAUUGAACUAAAACAGCAUUAAAAUAUAUUGCCUAAUUUAAAAAUAUAAAAAAAUUGAUUUAAUCAACCAAAAAAAACAAAGGACCAACAGUGUAAAUGGCCCAUUUUGAAUCCUAUAAAAUCCCAUUUUAAAACCCUAAACUCAUUUCCCCUCAGCCCCUCUUCUAGUGCGCCACAAAUUCUCUCAAAGUGCCCUUCUCUGCCGCUCCG